rnacentral:tRNA from 1 species
GCCACCUUAGCUCAGUUGGUAGAGCAAUAGUUUUGUAAACUAUAGGUCGUCGGUUCGAACCCGACAGGUGGCU